rnacentral:rRNA from 1 species
UCCGCAGGGGGUAGAUUAAGUCUGAUGUGAAAUCCCUGAGCUUAACUCAGGAACUGCAUUGGAGACUGGUUUACUAGAGUAUCGGAGAGGAGAUUGGAAUUCCAGGUGUAGCGGUGGAAUGCGUAGAUAUCUGGAAGAACACCGAAAGCGAAGGCAGAUCUCUGGACGAUUACUGACCCUCAGGGACGAAAGCGUGGGGAGCAAACA